UUCAGAUUGCAGGCUGCAACUCGCCUGCAUGAAGUCGGACUUGCUAGUAAUCGCGGAUCAGCAUGCCGCGGUGAAUACGUUCCCGGGCCUUGUACACACCGCCCGUCACACCAUGAGAGUUGGGGGAUACCCGAAGCCUGUGAGCUAACUUUUAGAGGCAGCAGUCGAAGGUAGAAUCAAUGAUUGGGGUGAAGUCGUAACAAGGUACC
rnacentral:rRNA from 1 species